AUUGUUGUACAAUGUCCUUUGACUCUGUUUACACAAGGUCAACACAAAAAGGUUUGAUUGUAAACUGAUAUUGGUAUGAAUUCAUGUUAUACUCCUCUUCACAAGAAACAAACAAUUUACAAAAAAAAACACUAGAAUUACCGCACUGCGUUGUAUGACUCCGCUAACCAGUGCAGUGUCCGUCUACAUAUUUCUACAUAUUUUCUCUCAUAUAAAUGUCACUGUAACCUCUUGACAACUGAAACCAUAACAUGAGGUCAGUGUGGCCUUGACCUUUUGACUUUAAGACAAAUACACAGUUAGACAACCCGAAAACAUGCAGUAAUGCCUCCGGCGACUCGCUAUUACAGAGGCAUUAAAAUGUUAAGUGUAGUAGACUGGAUUUUAUUGGUGUUACAUUGGACAUCUUGUAUUGGUACACAAAAAAUAUAUUUGGUUUCACAUUUUAGAUGGCAUAAGCAGAGACAUCAACUCAGGAAAUGGAUUUCUGCAGAAAAUUAAGCCUUGUAUGUGUGUAUAUAUACAUACAAACGCACUUUUAAAACGUUUUGUUUUUUAUCAUAUAUUCUCAGGUAGUACUGACGCAUUUACGGAGAUGGGACAUGAGGGCCUUGUCUGCGUGCCCAAGAGAAGAUUCCACAGAGUUCAAGCUGAGCAGGCUGCAGCAGGUUUGGAGGAAUCCUCCUCUGAAGAGGAAACAUGGCGAGGUUCUUCUCCACUGAUGAAGAAAUAUCUUCUCAAGAGAAGCUGCCUCAGCUCCACGGUCCCUCCUGCAGCCUCCACUCCUGAUGCUAACCCCCGGUCUCCAUCACACCAUCCGGGCAGACCUGGAGUCACAGAACUUUGUCCAGAGCUGCCGUCUGAGAAUUGUUGAUCAUAUAAUUUUCAGCAGAUGCCUUAAUGUAAUGUUUGUGCACAAUAAAUGACAUUGAUCAUAA